rnacentral:rRNA from 1 species
AGUGAACGCUGGCGGUAGGCCUAACACAUGCAAGUCGAACGGCAGCACAGUAAGAGCUUGCUCUUACGGGUGGCGAGUGGCGGACGGGUGAGGAAUACAUCGGAAUCUACUUUUUCGUGGGGGAUAACGUAGGGAAACUUACGCUAAUACCGCAUACGACCUACGGGUGAAAGCAGGGGAUCUUCGGACCUUGCGCGAUUGAAUGAGCCGAUGUCGGAUUAGCUAGUAGGCGGGGUAAAGGCCCACCAAGGCGACGAUCCGUAGCUGGUCUGAGAGGAUGAUCAGCCACACUGGAACUGAGACACGGUCCAGACUCCUACGGGAGGCAGCAGUGGGGAAUAUUGGACAAUGGGCGCAAGCCUGAUCCAGCCAUACCGCGUGGGUGAAGAAGGCCUUCGGGUUGUAAAGCCCUUUUGUUGGGAAAGAAAAGCAGCAGGUUAAUACCCCGCUGUUCUGACGGUACCCAAAGAAUAAGCACCGGCUAACUUCG